CAAUAUUACCAGUACCACAGCCAACUCUUGUACCAGCCAUGCUGAGAAACGUGGCAACACCGCUCAAGUCCAGAUCGAGAGUCCUAUUUUCCAAUGUGAGAGUUUUGUGCUUCGUAUCAUAAUUAACACUGUUUUUAAUAGAAAACUAUACCAAUGUACACCAUUUGUUAUUAAUUAUGUAAAAGUGGGAUAUAAAUAUUAUGACUAUAUGGUUUGAAGAAAAUAUAAGUGUGAAGGAAGAUAAAACCUUCUUUGGACCAAAUUGAAGUGUUUGCAAAUUGAUAAGAAAUAUUAUAAUCUAAUACAAACGUGAAAUAGACAAAAUUGUUUGUACGAAGCCAAAGAGGAUCAUUUUGUAUUCUAUCUUUCCAUUCCUGGAGACGACUCCAGGCUUCACUUUUAAGGUGAAUUUCUCCAUUGCAAAUGCACAUAGUUCUCUUUCUACACUUUCCCUUUGAGUGACCAUAGUUCCAAUAGUUGGUGCAGUUUUUAAUAGGUUCGAUGAAGCAAUGAACCUUCACACUGUAUAACCCAUACAAUUUAAUAUCUUCUGAUUUUCUCGGUUUACAGAGCGCUGCAUUACCCGUGUCUAUCCCCUUAAGUGAACACGUAGAAGAGAUGGAGGGAAACUACCCAAGGAAAGAAUUGUGCAGUUAAUUACAAGAGUGUGUUGCAG